UAACGCUGAGGUGUGAUGACGAGGCACUACGGUGCUGAAGUGACAAAUGCCCUGCUUCCAGGAAAAGCCUCUAAGCAUCAGGUAACAUCAAAUCGUACCCCAAACCGACACAGGUGGUCAGGUAGAGAAUACCAAGGCGCUUGAGAGAACUCGGGUGAAGGAACUAGGCAAAAUGGUGCCGUAACUUCGGGAGAAGGCACGCUGAUGGUAGGUGAAGUGACUUGCUCAUGGAGCUGAAAUCAGUCGAAGAUACCAGCUGGCUGCAACUGUUUAUUAAAAACACAGCACUGUGCAAACACGAAAGUGGACGUAUACGGUGUGACGCCUGCCCGGUGCCGGAAGGUUAAUUGAUGGGGUUAUCCGUAAGGAGAAGCUCUUGAUCGAAGCCCCGGUAAACGGCGGCCGUAACUAUAACGGUCCUAAGGUAGCGAAAUUCCUUGUCGGGUAAGUUCCGACCUGCACGAAUGGCGUAAUGAUGGCCAGGCUGUCUCCACCCGAGACUCAGUGAAAUUGAACUCGCUGUGAAGAUGCAGUGUACCCGCGGCAAGACGGAAAGACCCCGUGAACCUUUACUAUAGCUUGACACUGAACACUGGUCCUUGAUGUGUAGGAUAGGUGGGAGGCUUUGAAGUGUGGACGCCAGUCUGCAUGGAGCCAUCCUUGAAAUACCACCCUUUAAUGGCUGGUGUUCUAACGUGGGCCCGUAAUCCGGGUUGCGGACAGUGUCUGGUGGGUAGUUUGACUGGGGCGGUCUCCUCCUAAAGAGUAACGGAGGAGCACGAAGGUCAGCUAAUCCUGGUCGGACAUCAGGAGGUUAGUGCAAUGGCAUAAGCUGGCUUGACUGCGAGCGUGACGGCGCGAGCAGGUGCGAAAGCAGGUCAUAGUGAUCCGGUGGUUCUGAAUGGAAGGGCCAUCGCUCAACGGAUAAAAGGUACUCCGGGGAUAACAGGCUGAUACCGCCCAAGAGUUCAUAUCGACGGCGGUGUUUGGCACCUCGAUGUCGGCUCAUCACAUCCUGGGGCUGAAGUAGGUCCCAAGGGUAUGGCUGUUCGCCAUUUAAAGUGGUACGCGAGCUGGGUUUAGAACGUCGUGAGACAGUUCGGUCCCUAUCUGCCGUGGGCGCUGGAGAAUUGAGGGGGGCUGCUCCUAGUACGAGAGGACCGGAGUGGACGCAUCACUGGUGUUCGGGUUGUCAUGCCAAUGGCAUUGCCCGGUAGCUAAAUGCGGAAGAGAUAAGUGCUGAAAGCAUCUAAGCACGAAACUUGCCCCGAGAUGAGUUCUCCCUGACUCCUUGAGAGUCCUGAAGGAACGUUGAAGACGACGACGUUGAUAGGCCGGGUGUGUAAGCGCAGCGAUGCGUUGAGCUAACCGGUACUAAUGAACCGUGAGGCUUAACCUU
rnacentral:rRNA from 1 species